AGAGUGAACGCUGGCGGUAGGCCUAACACAUGCAAGUCGAACGGCAGCACAGGAGAGCUUGCUCUCUGGGUGGCGAGUGGCGGACGGGUGAGGAAUACAUCGGAAUCUACCUUUUCGUGGGGGAUAACGUAGGGAAACUUACGCUAAUACCGCAUAAGACCUUCGGGUGAAAGCCGGGGACCUUCGGGCCUGGCGCGGAUAGAUGAGCCGAUGUCGGAUUAGCUUGUGGCGGGGUAAAGCCCACCAAGGCGACGAUCCGUAGCUGGUCUGAGAGGAUGAUCAGCCACACCGGAACUGAGACACGGUCCAGACUCCUACGGGAGGCAGCAGUGGGGAAUUUGGACAAUGGGCGCAAGCCUGGAU
rnacentral:rRNA from 1 species